AAGGUAACCCGCUCACUUAGAACCGCUCACUUAGAACUGUACCAGCAGGCGUUUCAACAGAACAAGGAAUGCUGUGGGUUUCAAUGUACUCAGAAAGACUGCUCAAGACUCUCAUGAGAAGACCCCAGCCCCUCUCAGCCUUCUCAGUUAACUCAACUGUGUGCUUUCCACAGACAUUUAAGAGAGUAAAUUGGGAAGAGGGGAUGCUGCCACUCCCUCCACGCAUGCAUCGUUCUUUCUCUCUCUCUGUGUCUCUGUCUCUCUCUCUCUCUCUCUGUCUCUCUGAGAAAUAGCUUUCUGAGACACUCGUUUGGUUAAUGCUCCAACGGAACAAUGCCUAGUGAUCUGGGGUGACUGUCUCUCUAGGCAGCAGCAAGAGAAGAUUGGCAGCCCUUACGUAUCUGGAAGGCUCCUCUCGGUUCUGGUCGUUCAUGUGAGUGGGAACAGUCCUGGUGGCCAGUGGUCCCUCUGCGAAAGGCUUUGGUAGCUGACCUCUGAACUCUGAUGGAAUGAACUGAAGCUGCCAACUGUCAGAGACACAAGCGAGAAGAAUGAAAAGAACACAUGGCGGACCUGUUGCUUAACAGACAACCCUUCACCCCAGAUCACCAGAAAAACAUUACACUUGAAGAAAACAUGAUUUCUGCUAGAACUUCAGUUGGGGGCAGGAGCAGAGGUCACAAGUCAGUCUGAAGCAAGAAAUUUAUAACUAAAGGUCUCUCAAUCCCUUUACUCAAGUCUCAGCUUGGAAACUUGCAAGCAGAUGGCCCUGAACAAAGAGGGUGAGAAUGCCACUAACUCCCCACUCAGGUGCACAGAAAACAGUAACGGGACAUCCACCAGGAAAACACUAGGAGACUGUCUUCAUCUAGAUAAUCCUCAAAAGGCCUUCAGCUAUGAAACUAUCUCAGAUGCAAAAGGCAAAGGCAAGGUCAACAUUUAACAGAGAAGUUUCACCUUAAUCCUUAACGACUGAUACAAAAAAUCUUUAUGUUAAAA
rnacentral:lncRNA from 1 species